rnacentral:rRNA from 1 species
CGUGUAGGCGGCCAGGUAGGUCCGUUGUGAAAACUGGAGGCUUAACCUCCAGACGUCGAUGGAAACCAUUUGGCUAGAGUCCGGAAGAGGAGAGUGGAAUUCCUGGUGUAGCGGUGAAAUGCGCAGAUAUCAGGAAGAACACCCGUGGCGAAGGCGGCUCUCUGGGACGGUACUGAUGCUGAGACGCGAAAGCGUGGGGAGCGAACA